rnacentral:hammerhead_ribozyme from 1 species
AUCCAUCUGACAAGUCCUAAACGGGACGAAACCCGCGUCCUAGAU